rnacentral:rRNA from 1 species
GGGUAAUUUUCCGCAAUGGGCGAAAGCCUGACGGAGCAAUACCGCGUGAGGGACGAAGGCUUUUGGGUCGUAAACCUCUUUUCCCUGAGAAGAAGAUCUGACGGUAUCAGGGGAAUCAGCAUCGGCUAACUUCGUGCCAGCAGCCGCGGUAAUACGAGGGAUGCAAGCGUUAUCCGGAAUUAUUGGGCGUAAAGCGUCCGCAGGUGGCUCUGUAAGUCUGUCGUUAAAGAAUGGGGCUCAACCCCAUACAGGCGAUGGAAACUACAAGGCUAGAGUUUGGUAGGGGUCACGGGAAUUCCUAGCGUAGCGGUGAAAUGCGUAGAUAUUAGGAAGAACACCAGCGGCGAAAGCGCGUGACUGGGCCAGUACUGACACUCAUGGACGAAAGCUAGGGGAGCGAAAGGGAUUAGAUACCCCUGUAGUCCUAGCCGUAAACGAUGAUAACUAGGUGUUGCCCGUAUCGACCCGGGCAGUGCCGUAGCCAACGCGUUAAGUUAUCC